UACGUAGGGUGCGAGCGUUGUCCGGAAUUAUUGGGCGUAAAGAGCUCGUAGGCGGUUCGUCGCGUCGAAUGUGAAAACCCGGGGCUCAACUCCGGGCCUGCAUUCGAUACGGGCGGACUAGAGUUCGGUAGGGGAGACUGGAAUUCCUGGUGUAGCGGUGAAAUGCGUAGAUAUCUGGAGGAAUACCGGUGGCGAAGGCGGCAUCCUGGACCGGCAUUGACGCUGAGGAGCGAAAGCCAGGGGAGCAAACGGG
rnacentral:rRNA from 1 species